CUUACUUCUGCAAUGUAAAUGAAACCAGAGGCAAGAGGCAACCCUACGUAGAUUCACUGCAAGGCUCCACCUUGGUUCUGGAGCAUGAAAGAUGCCACAAAAGGCCUCCUCUCGUAAGAAAGCAGGCUCAUCAGUGGGCAGAACCACUCACAAGUCUGAUAGCAGGGGAGGUUAUCAGCAGAUAAACAAGCCUGAUUCUGCAGUUUGGACCUUCCUUGCAUUGGAAAAGAAGAAAAGAGCUAAUUCAGCUAGAGAAGGCGAGGCAUUGCUCCUAACGUGGCUUUCUGUCAUCAAGGCAAAGCAAAGGAUGCAAACCCACCUUCCCCAUGUAGCCCUUCAUAUACGGAAAGACAUAUCUCUUGUCCUCCAUUCCCUUCCUCUGGAUAAAUGUCCACCAUUUCUUCAACUCUUCCUACUGUAGCAUGGUGUUGAGGCCCUGCCCCAUCCUGGCCCUCCAGACAGGUUCAAGCUUAUAAGUGACCAUCCUCAAAUGUGCCCAGGGGCGCUCUUACCAGAGAAAGUCAGUGAGGGCUAUUCUCUUGCCGUCUUGCCCAGGAGCAUGCCACCUUGGGGCUGCCAAUCACUGCUGACUUGUGUUGAAGCUAUUAAAACUCUUAGGUCUUUUUUCAGACAAUGCUUUCUGGGCACACCUCCCUCUCAUGUCUUUUACUUGUGAAUUUGAAUUUUUGAACCCAUCGGACUUUACAUUUAUCCCUGUCAAAUUUCCUCUCCAGCAUUCUAAAUUUGUCAAUCUUGGUCACUGAACAAGUUAGCCAUUCUCCCUAGCUUUGUAUGUGUUUCUGUUAUGAUGAGCAUGCUAUGAAUGAUUGCAUCAAGACAUUUACAAAAAUGAUCUAGACUACAGGGCUAAAACCAAUUGUUCAUCUCUAAUUGCCCUUCAGACAUCUUAAACUGGAUGUCCAGUAAAUGUCUUAAACUCAACAUGUCCAAAAUGGAACUCAUGAUCUUUCCCCCUAACCCCCCUUUCCUUCUACCUUCCUUAUUACUGCUGAGGGCAACACCCUUGACUGUCAGGAUCCCCACCCAAGAUUCAUCCUAGACUCCUCACUGUCUCUCACCUCCCAGAUCCAAUAUGAUGCCAAGACCUGUCAAUUUC